GUCGCUAUAGCUCAGCUGGAUAGAGCGACCGCCUCCUAAGCGGUAGGUCGGAGGUUCAAAUCCUCUUAGCGACGCCA
rnacentral:tRNA from 10 species